GAUUAACGCUGGCGGCGUGCAUAACACAUGCAAGUCGAACGAUGAAACUUAGUAGACUUCUUCGGAAAGACACUAAGCGGCUUAGUGGCGAACGGGUGAGUAACGCGUGAGUAACCUGCCUUACACAAGGGGAUAGCCUUUGGAAACGAAGAAUAAUACCCUAUAAAACUAUAAAAGCACAUGCUAUAAUGGUCAAAGUGAUAGCGGUGUAAGAUGGACUUGCGUCUGAUUAGCUAGUUGGUGAGAUAAAAGCUCACCAAGGCAACGAUCAGUAGCCGGCUUGAGAGAGUGUACGGCCACAUUGGGACUGAGACACGGCCCAGACUCCUACGGGAGGCAGCAGUGGGGAAUUUUGCACAAUGGGGGAAACCCUGAUGCAGCGACGCCGCGUGAUUUAGAAGGCCUUCGGGUUGUAAAAAUCUUUUGUAUAGGAAGAAAAUGACAGUACUAUACGAAUAAGGUCCGGCUAAUUACGUG
rnacentral:rRNA from 1 species